CCUACGGGCGGCAGCAGUCGAGAAUCAUUCACAAUGGGGGAAACCCUGAUGGUGCGACGCCGCGUGGGGGAAUGAUGGUCUUCGGAUUGUAAACCCCUGUCAUGUGGGAGCAAAUUAAAAAGAUAGUACCACAAGAGGAAGAGACGGCUAACUCGGUGACAGCAGCCGCGGUAAUACAGAGGUCUCAAGCGUUGUUCGGAAUCACUGGGCGUAAGGCGUGCGUAGGCUGUUUCGUAAGUCGUGUGUGAAAGGCGCGGGCUCAACCCGCGGACGGCACAUGAUACUGCGAGCCUAGAGUAAUGGAGGGGGAACCGGAAUUCUCGGUGUAGCAGUGAAAUGCGUAGAUAUCGAGAGGAACACUCGUGGCGAAGGCGGGUUCCUGGACAUUAACUGACGCUGAGGCACGAAGGCCAGGGGAGCGAAAGGGAUUAGAUACCCGGGUAGUC
rnacentral:rRNA from 1 species